rnacentral:rRNA from 1 species
AGUGAACGCUGGCGGUAGGCCUAACACAUGCAAGUCGAACGGAAGGACAGUAAGCGCUUGCUCUUACGGGUGGCGAGUGGCGGACGGGUGAGGCAUACAUCGCAAACUAAUUUUUCGUGGAGGAUAACGUAAGGAAGCUUACGCUACUACCGAAUACGACGUACGGCUGGAAGCAGUGGUUCUUGGCGGCUUUCGCGUUUCUAUUAGCCGACGCCGCAUUAGCUUGUUGGCUGGGUAAGGGCCCACCAAGGCAACGAUCCGUAGCUGGUCUGAGAGGAUGAUCGGCCACACUGGAACUGAGACACGGUCCAGACUCCUACGGGAGGCAGCAGUGGGGAAUAUUGGACAAUGGGCGCAAGCCUGAUCCAGCCAUACCGCGUGAGUGAAGAAGGCCUUCGGGUCGUAAAGCCCUGUUGUUGGGAAAGAAAAGAAGCAGAUGAAUACACCGCUGUUCUGACGGUACCCAAAGAAUAAGCACCGGCUAACUUCGUG